rnacentral:rRNA from 1 species
ACUUGAGAGUUUGAUCCUGGCUCAGGACGAACGCUGGCGGCAUGCCUUACACAUGCAAGUCGAACGGACCUAGCAAUAGGUUAGUGGCGAACGGGUGAGUAAUACAUGAGCAACCUGCCUCAAACAGGGGGAUAACACCGGGAAACUGGUGCUAAUACCGCAUAAGACCACAGCGCGGCAUCGCGCAGGGGUAAAAACGAUUCAGUGGUUUGAGAUGGGCUCAUGUCCCAUUAGCUAGUUGGUGAGAUAACAGCCCACCAAGGCGACGAUGGGUAGCCGACCUGAGAGGGUGAUCGGCCACAUUGGAACUGAGAUAC